GUGGGUAUAGCUCAGUGGUAGAGUGUGUGCUUAGCAUGCGUGAGGUCCUGGGUUCAAUCCCCAGUAACUCCA
rnacentral:tRNA from 1 species